CAGCAGCCACGGUAAUACGAAGGGGGCUAGCGUUGCUCGGAAUUACUGGGCGUAAAGGGAACGUAGGCGGACAUUUAAGUCAGGGGUGAAAUCCCAGAGCUCAACUCUGGAACUGCCCUUGAUACUGGGUGUCUUGAGUGUGAUAGAGGUAUGUGGAACUCCGAGUGUAGAGGUGAAAUUCGUAGAUAUUCGGAAGAACACCAGUGGCGAAGGCGACAUACUGGAUCAUUACUGACGCUGAGGCUCGAAAGCGUGGGGAGCAAACAGGAUUAGAUACCCCUGUAGUCCCUGUCUCUUAUAC
rnacentral:rRNA from 1 species